rnacentral:rRNA from 1 species
GGCGAACGCUGGCGGCGUGCUUAACACAUGCAAGUCGAACGGAAAGGCCUGCUUUCCCUUGUGGAUUGCGGGUACUCGAGUGGCGAACGGGUGAGUAACACGUGAGUGAUCUGCCCCCAACUUGGGUAUAAGCCUGGGAAACUGGGUCUAAUUCCCGAUAGGACUGCAGGGUGGUGCCGGUGGUGGAAAACGAUGUUCUAGUGGUUGGGGAUGAGCUCGCGGCCUAUCAGCUUGUUGGUGGGGUAAUGGCCUACCAAGGCGGCGACGGGUAGCCGGCCUGAGAGGGUGGACGGCCCCAUUGGAACUGAGAUACGGCCCAGACUCCUACGGGAGGCAGCAGUGGGGAAUAUUGCACAAUGGGCGGAAGCCUGAUGCAGCGACGCCGCGUGGGGGAUGACGGCCUUCGGGUUGUAAACUCCUUUCGACCGCGAGGAAGCCACCUGGUUGGAAGGGUGGUGACGGUAGUGGUAGAAGAAGCACCGGCUAACUACGUG